rnacentral:rRNA from 1 species
UACGAAGGGGGCUAGCGUUGCUCGGAAUCACUGGGCGUAAAGGGUGCGUAGGCGGGUCUUUAAGUCAGGGGUGAAAUCCUGGAGCUCAACUCCGGAACUGCCAUUGAAACUGUUUAGCUUGAGGAUGAGAGAGGUGAGUGGAAUUCCCAGUGUAGAGGUGAAAUUCGUAGAUAUUGGGAAGAACACCGGUGGCGAAGGCGGCUCACUGGCUCAUUACUGACGCUCAGGCGCGAUAGCGUGGGGAUCAAACAGG